rnacentral:rRNA from 1 species
GAUGAACGCUGGCGGCGUGCCUAAUACAUGCAAGUCGAGCGAACAGACGAGGAGCUUGCUCCUCUGACGUUAGCGGCGGACGGGUGAGUAACACGUGGAUAACCUACCUAUAAGACUGGGAUAACUUCGGGAAACCGGAGCUAAUACCGGAUAAUAUAUUGAACCGCAUGGUUCAAUAGUGAAAGACGGUUUUGCUGUCACUUAUAGAUGGAUCCGCGCCGCAUUAGCUAGUUGGUAAGGUAACGGCUUACCAAGGCAACGAUGCGUAGCCGACGUGAGAGGGUGAUCGGCCACACUGGAACUGAGACACGGUCCAGACUCCUACGGGAGGCAGCAGUAGGGAAUCGUCCGCAAUGGGCGAAAGCCUGACGGAGCAACGCCGCGUGAGUGAUGAAGGUCUUCGGAUCGUAAAACUCUGUUAUUAGGGAAGAACAAAUGUGUAAGUAACUAUGCACGUCUUGACGGUACCUAAUCAGAAAGCCACGGCUAACUACGUG